UACAGAGGUCCCAAGCGUUGUUCGGAUUCACUGGGCGUAAAGGGUGCGUAGGUGGUGAGGUAAGUCGGAUGUGAAAUCUCCGAGCUCAACUCGGAAAUGGCAUUGGAAACUACCUUGCUCGAGGGUUGGAGGGGGGACUGGAAUACUUGGUGUAGCAGUGAAAUGCGUAGAUAUCAAGUGGAACACCAGUGGCGAAGGCGAGUCCCUGGACAACUCCUGACACUGAGGCACGAAAGCUAGGGGAGCAAACAGG
rnacentral:rRNA from 1 species